UCUGGUUUUCUGGUGUGAUUGGGAUCAUUGCCUGACCCAAUGUUGACCAAGCAUUAGCUGUCGGAGAGAUGGCCCACCAUCUCUCGGUUUGCCUGCAGCCACAACGGAGUAGAAGGCCAUGCAGCGUGUUGGGAUUGUCUGUCCCCCCACCUCCCCGGGUGCCUCUGCCUGUUGCUACCACACAUCGGAAUCGCAGCCUCCGUUAAAUCAGCAACAUUUUGAAGAAUCUGGGCGAGAUGGAGAAAAGAAA